UACAGAGGUCUCAAGCGUUGUUCGGAAUCACUGGGCGUAAAGGGUGCGUAGGCGGCGGAGUAAGUCGGGUGUGAAAUUUGAAGGCUCAACCUUCAACUAGCACCUGAUACUGCUUCGCUAGAGAUCUGGAGAGGGACUUGGAAUUCUCGGUGUAGCAGUGAAAUGCGUAGAUUUCGAGAAGAACGCUCGCAGCGAAAGCGAAGUCCUGGACAGCAUCUGACGCUGAGGCACGAAGGCUAGGGGAGCAAACGGG
rnacentral:rRNA from 1 species